GAUGAAGAACGUAGCGAAAUGCGAUAAGUAGUGUGAAUUGCAGAAUUCAGUGUAUCAUCGAAUCUUUGAACGCACAUUGCGCCCCUUGGUAUCCCGAGGGGCAUGCCUGUUCGAGCGUCAUUUCACCACUCAAGCCUGGCUUGGUGUUGGGCGACGUCCCCUUUGGGGACGCGCCUCGAAACGCUCGGCGGCGUGGCACCGGCUUUAAGCGUAGCAGAAUCUUUCGCUUUGGAAGUCGGGGCCCCGUCUGCCGGAAGACCUACUCGCAAGGUUGACCUCGGAUCAGGCAGGGAUACCCGCUGAACUUAAGCAUAUCAAUAAGCGGAGGA
rnacentral:misc_RNA from 1 species